AAACAUCGAUCGAUCCCUUCUGAAAAUCACACUUUCUGUGUGGAGUCCAUCGUUCUUCCUAUCAACCAAUCCAAAAAUUGAUUGAUUCACUCUCCCUGAGGUCAUUUUUAAGCGACCAUACCGCUGACAAGAAGCCAAGAUAACCCUGGGUUCGAGAUUGAACUAUCCCAUGAAAGGUCCUUGAGGUUAACAGACAAUAGAGCCGUUGUCUUCAAACGAAUCAGACCACAACAACAGUCAAACUUUGAUAAAAAACAGAACUUUUCCACAAACUUUGCGGGAAUAUCACACAAUUUAAAACUACUCAAACCGUUUCUUGAGUCGUUGCCAUCAAGGUCGUAAUUUACAUCUUUGAUUAACGGACUCCGCGCACGCCUUUUUUUCUCUCUGAUGUAUUUUUCCUUUUAAUUUUUAACAAGCACAGCGUGUGCCAACUUGGUGUGACAGCUCUGAAAAGAAGCCAGAGGUCCGCCUACAGCCUCAAUGGCACGCGUUUGUCGAGAAUGGCAGUCGUUUUGGAAGUUGCUUAACGGGAAUGGAAUGGAAUACAUCGCGUAAACAAUCCAUGUCUGUGACAUGAUGACACAUCUAUGCUUUUGAAAUGAUACCGGUUGAUACUUCGUGCACAAUGAAAGAGUCGAGAGCCAGGAAGAAGACUAUCUAUCAUGAUAUGGCUAUCUCAGCUGAUGGGAAACAUUGGAAUAAAGGUUAAAAUUCAGAAAAGGAGUAUUUAUGCACCCCAUCCUCAACAGCUACAAGUUAUGAAA